GAUGAACGCUAGCGGGAGGCCUAACACAUGCAAGCCGAGCGGUAUUUCUUCUUCGGGAGAGAGAGAGCGGCGUACGGGUGCGGAACACGUGUGCAACCUGCCUUUAUCUAGAGGAUAGCCUUUCGAAAGGAAGAUUAAUACUCUAUAAUAUAUUAAUUGGCAUCAAUCGAUAUUGAAAACUCCGGUGGAUAGAGAUGGGCACGCGCAAGAUUAGCUAGUUGGUGAGGUAACGGCUCACCAAGUCAAUGAUCUUUAGGGGGCCUGAGAGGGUGAUCCCCCACACUGGUACUGAGACACGGACCAGACUCCUACGGGAGGCAGCAGUGAGGAAUAUUGGUCAAUGGGUGCAAGCCUGAACCAGCCAUCCCGCGUGAAGGAUUAAGGUCCUAUGGAUUGUAAACUUCUUUUGUAUAGGGAUAAACCUACCCUCGUGAGGGUAGCUGAAGGUACUAUACUAAUAAGCACCGGCUAACUCCGUGCCAGCCGCCGCAGUAAAAC
rnacentral:rRNA from 1 species